GAUGAACGCUGGCGGCGUGCCUAAUACAUGCAAGUCGAGCGAACAGACGAGGAGCUUGCUCCUCUGACGUUAGCGGCGGACGGGUGAGUAACACGUGGAUAACCUACCUAUAAGACUGGGAUAACUUCGGGAAACCGGAGCUAAUACCGGAUAAUAUAUUGAACCGCAUGGUUCAAUAGUGAAAGACGGUUUUGCUGUCACUUAUAGAUGGAUCCGCGCCGCAUUAGCUAGUUGGUAAGGUAACGGCUUACCAAGGCAACGAUGCGUAGCCGACCUGAGAGGGUGAUCGGCCACACUGGAACUGAGACACGGUCCAGACUCCUACGGGAGGCAGCAGCAGGGAAUCUUCCGCAAUGGGCGAAAGCUUGACGGGGCAACGCCGCGUGAGUGAUGAAGGUCUUCGGAUCGUAAAACUCUGUUAUUAGGGAAGAACAAAUGUGUAAGUAACUAUGCACGUCUUGACGGUACCUAAUCAGAAAGCCACGGCUAACUACGUG
rnacentral:rRNA from 1 species